rnacentral:rRNA from 1 species
GACGAACGCUGGCGGCGUGCUUAACACAUGCAAGUCGAGCGGUAAGGCCCUUUCGGGGGUACACGAGCGGCGAACGGGUGAGUAACACGUGGGUGACCUGCCCUCAGCUCUGGGGAUAAGCCUGGGAAACCGGGUCUAAUACUGGAUAUGACCCCAUGACGCAUGUUGUGGGGUGGAAAGCCUUGUGCGGCUGAGGAUGGGCCCGCGGCCUAUCAGCUUGUUGUGGGGUGAUGGCCUACCAAGGCGACGACGGGUAGCCGGCCUGAGA